UCCGACUGUGUGACCUACGUCAAUAUUCCUGUUAGUCCCACAUCCAAGAAGCAGCUCAACUACAUGGAGCUGGAGCUGCAGGAGCCGGGCCCCCGAGGGACCGUCCCCAACCUGCCCUCUCAGAGAAAAAGCUCCACCAAGUACGCCCAGAUAGACAUCACCGCCACAGAGACGGCCCACAAAGUGGGGACGCAGCACGCCCUGGGCCGGCAGGAGGGCCUGCACACUCUGGAGCUGAGGAGGAAGGGGACGCCACACUGAGUUCUCCAUCUCUGAACUAUUGAUCUCAGCGGGAUGUGUUUUAAGACCAGCAUACUGCAUCAAACUGUAAAGUUAAACAGUUAACACUGUUUCCAAAAGAUCCUCUGAGGAUCCACUAGAUCCACUCAAGACAUUCUUAGAUCCAGAUUCAACCGUCUCACAAAGGUUUGGCACAGGAUCAGGAGCAACAUUUCAGUCUUGGUGAUCUUUGUGGACUGGGGCAUCUCAUUAAAUGGCAUUAUGUCAGACCGGAGCCCCGGGCUAACUAUGAGGAAGAUGUGCCAGAGCUGAGCUGAGUCACUGAUAAACCACAGCAGAGUUAUCUCACACUCUGAACACGCAGUAUGCUCUUUUUGUCCUUGUUUGGAAGGAUGAGGCAGGAGAGGGAAGCAGGAACGGUCUUUAUUCUCACCAGGAGUUCACACGCAGUUAUUCUAUCAGUGGAUUCACCAAACUCACUUUUAUAAUAGAUUCAUAUUUGGGGAAACUUUUCAUCCAGUCUUACUCAGAACGCUCACUGAGAACUGAGAACGGGAUAAUUAAUACUUCUGCAUAAUGAUUUUUCCUGGGGGUAACUAAUGGAUCGGUGUUUAUCAUGAACAAAAUCUCAAUGCUGCUAUUGUUUUUUCUGUUCUUCAAAGUUAAUAUGGAAUAGGAUUUACUCUGCAAAAGUUGUCAUAAAUAAUACAAAGCAGAGAAGAUGGUGAAAAUUAUUGGAUUUUCUUAGAGAGUUCCCCCACAGUUACCUGUAGAGCUUUUUAUCAUUCUAGAUAGUUUUAGGAUGAGUUGGUACUCUGUUCAACACUGCUUUCUAGUACAAUUCCUCUGAAACAAUCUGGAUUGAUGAGUAGCACUCCAGCUAAGUGGAAACUAUGAACUAUGUAUUUUAUCACUGUGCAACAACACAUGUCUCCCAGAACUGACUGCUGGCUCUCAUGGCCAUCAUUUGUGAAAAUGAUGUAUGUUAAAAACAAGUUUGAAGUUUUCAUGUUUUACUCACUGAAGUGGUUAAAAUCUUUUUUUAUUAUUAUUAUUCCAAAUUGUGUGUGUGCACAUAGGCAUUUUCCCAAAACUGCAAUUAAAAAAAACAAAAAAAUAGAUAUUUGGUAGGUGUUUUGUAGAGAUAUUUCAAUCGUCCCCUCCUUGAAUUUUUAUUUUGAUAUCUGU